rnacentral:rRNA from 1 species
GACGAACUGUCCUACCGUUGUUCGGAUUUACUGGGCGUAAAGGGCGCGUAGGCGGCCACCGCAAGUCGACUGUGAAAUCUCCGGGCUUAACCCGGAAAGGUCAGCCGAUACUGCGGGGCUAGAGUGCAGAAGGGGCAACUGGAAUUCUCGGUGUAGCGGUGAAAUGCGUAGAUAUCGAGAGGAACACCUGCGGCGAAGGCGGGUUGCUGGGCUGACACUGACGCUGAUGUGCGAAAGCUAGGGGAGCGAACGGG